rnacentral:rRNA from 1 species
CGGUAAUACGUAGGGUGCAAGCGUUAAUCGGAAUUACUGGGCGUAAAGCGUGCGCAGGCGGUUUUGUAAGUCUGACGUGAAAUCCCCGGGCUUAACCUGGGAAUUGCGUUGGAGACUGCAAGGCUAGAAUCUGGCAGAGGGGGGUAGAAUUCCACGUGUAGCAGUGAAAUGCGUAGAGAUGUGGAGGAACACCGAUGGCGAAGGCAGCCCCCUGGGUCAAGAUUGACGCUCAUGCACGAAAGCGUGGGGAGCAAACAGGAUUAGAUACCCUGGUAGUCCACGCCCUAAACGAUGUCUACUAGUUGUCGGGUCUUAAUUGACUUGGUAACGCAGCUAACGCGUGAAGUAGACCGCCUGGGGAGUACGGUCGCAAGAUUAAA